AUGUUGUGUCUUUCUUCUCCAGAGCAAAGCUUUGGGUGGACAUCCUCCUGUUGCUUCUUGCUUCUGCCUCCAAGUAUGAGUCAUUCCCUACCCAUUUUCAGCUUCUUUCCAGUCACUGUCUUGCUGCUCAUUCAUGCUAUGGCAGCUAACUCCAUUGGUGAUGGGAAGGGUCAGAAGGCAGGACUUGAAACUACGGAGAUACACUGGAGAUGUUCCAGACCUGCUAACAGUCCCCUUAGUUAUGGAAGCAGCAACCUGUAGUAAAUCAUCCUGAAGGCCAAUGAAAGGUUUUUAACAACUUUGUUGAUGAUCUGGAGAGGGAGGAGAAUGUCGGUGACAUCAGUAGGAAAUGUUACAUUUGUGUGUGUUGCAGGCAGAAGAAUUGCUCAAAGGCAGAUGUGGAGAUUAAAAUGAUAAGGCAGAAUUAAUACAGACUUGUUCAAUUUUGGGAACUGUAACUGUUGAAAGGGGAGCCAAAUAUAUUGUUCCUCACAGCACAUGCAGUCUGUCCAGGGAACAAAAGGAACUGCACUCUUGUAAAAAUGGAAGUCCAGCAGACAAAUAUCAAGGUGAGAUCAGCUGUUGGCAAGGGAUGGUUGGUAUUGUUCCACUGACCUGUUACAUGGCUAUUGCUGGAAAAAGGUACAAACUGAGAGAGGAAAAAAAAACCUAAAUUAAUCCAAAUGAAAAGACUGGCUGACAUGGUCUAUGGCUGUGGUGAGAGAUACUGCUAAGUAAACACAGAUAUGUUGUUCCCCAACUGUGUCCAGCUUGGGAAAGAUGUAAAAAAGCCCCCAUGCAGUCUGUCAUGGAAUACUGAAAUAGGAGAGCAGAGAAAUGUCUGUGAACAUGGAUGAUGUGCUUUGUCACAGACAGAGAGAGUCAGAGUCUGCUGUUGGGAUAAACCACCAAAGGGCCUUGUCCUUCUCACCAAGAGUUACCUGCUGGAAGGAGAAACUCUGACUUUGUGAAGGAGGAAUUAAGAUCGUCUGUGGUCUUGGAAGCAAAACAGUCUUGGAAAGUGGGCAGCUGAGAGGCUCUCCUAUGGAAACCUUCCUGCAGAAGGUUCACUAACAACUCCAGUGUCUCAUUUUCUGUGGUAGAUUCAUAUUUAUGAAUUGAGCUGAUGUAUUCAGGAGGUAGCAGAGAACAAGCUUCGCUGUCUAUUUCUACCCUGCCUAGUAUCAAGGGAGCUUAACUUCAAGUACUAAUAACUUCUUCAUUUAUUAAGAAAAAAAUACGUGAAUACGCACAUACUGUCAUAUUUUGUAAAUAAAAAUCUCCUUGACUGUGGAAAUUUCUUCUAG
rnacentral:lncRNA from 1 species